rnacentral:lncRNA from 1 species
CCAAAUUCACUGUAGUACCAGGAAAUGAGCUAGACUAAGAGGUCAUUGAGAGCAAUACCAGCCCUAGCAUCAGAGGUGUAAGAGUGGGUGUCACUGUUAAAGUCACAGGAGAUAACUUGGUCCUCAUUGUAGCCUAGGAUGCCCUCGAGGGGGGCCUCUGGUGCCUGCUUCACCAUAUUUUUUAUGUCAUUGUAUUUG